UACGAAGGGGGCUAGCGUUGUUCGGAAUUACUGGGCGUAAAGCGCACGUAGGCGGAUUGUUAAGUGAGGGGUGAAAUCCCAGGGCUCAACCCUGGAACUGCCUUUCAUACUGGCAAUCUCGAGUCCGAAAGAGGUGAGUGGAAUUCCGAGUGUAGAGGUGAAAUUCGUAGAUAUUCGGAGGAACACCAGUGGCGAAGGCGGCUCACUGGUUCGGUACUGACGCUGAGGUGCGAAAGCGUGGGGAGCAAACAGG
rnacentral:rRNA from 1 species